AUUCACUAAACAGGAGAAACUCACAGGACUCCAGGCUGCACACUUCAGUCUACAAAUGGACCGGACGGAAACUACUGAGCGCACCGCGAGACGAGAAGCACACACCAGAGCUACCAGAGGACCAGAAGUUGUGUAGCAGUCAGCCAGCCACUCACAUUACCAACACAGUCUGGCGGGGAAACUCAAACUGCUGUGAUCCCGCUAUACCUUGCUUUUGUCUUUUGGAGCUUUAAUACAUCAAGGGAUGCACCGAAUAAAGACGCAAAAAUCAUUACAACCGACGGUUAGAGACUGUUUAGUUCUGCAUCGCAUGUCUUCGAUGAGAAGAGGAAGGGCGAUCAAAAAUGGCUUGGCUAAAGCGGUGAACUGGAGAAGUGUAAAUGGGAAAACACCAAAUAAAAACAUUG